UUGAACCGCAUGGUUCAAACAUAAAAGGUGGCUUCGGCUACCACUUACAGAUGGACCCGCGGCGCAUUAGCUAGUUGGUGAGGUAAUGGCUCACCAAGGCAACGAUGCGUAGCCGACCUGAGAGGGUGAUCGGCCACACUGGGACUGAGACACGGCCCAGACUCCUACGGGAGGCAGCAGUAGGGAAUCUUCCGCAAUGGACGAAAGUCUGACGGAGCAACGCCGCGUGAGUGAUGAAGGUUUUCGGAUCGUAAAGCUCUGUUGUUAGGGAAGAACAAGUACCGUUCGAAUAGGGCGGUACCUUGACGGUACCUAACCAGAAAGCCACGGCUAACUACGUG
rnacentral:rRNA from 1 species